GCUAUACAUGCAAGUCGAGCGAGCCGGACUAAUUGAUUACCUUCGGGUAUGAAGUUAGGGAAGCGAGCGGCGGAUGGGUGAGUAACACGUGGGUAACCUACCCUAUAGUCUGGGAUACCACUUGGAAACAGGUGCUAAUACCGGAUAAAAGGAGAGAUCACAUGAUUUCUUUUUGAAAGGCGGCGUAAGCUGUCGCUAAAGGAUGGACCCGCGGUGCAUUAGCUAGUUGGUAAGGUAACGGCUUACCAAGGCAACGAUGCAUAGCCGAGUUGAGAGACUGAUCGGCCACAUUGGGACUGAGACACGGCCCAAACUCCUACGGGAGGCAGCAGUAGGGAAUCUUCCACAAUGGACGCAAGUCUGAUGGAGCAACGCCGCGUGAGUGAAGAAGGUUUUCGGAUCGUAAAGCUCUGUUGUUGGUGAAGAAAGAUAGUGAGAGUAACUGCUCAUUAUUUGCCGGUAAUCAACCGGAAAGUCACGGCUAACUACGUGCCAGCAGCCGCGGUAAUACGUAGGUGGCAAGCGUUGUCCGGAUUUAUUGGGCGUAAAGCGAGCGCAGGCGGAAAGAUAAGUCAGAUGUGAAAGCCCUCGGCUUAACCGAGGAAUAGCAUCGGAAACUGUCUUUCUUGAGUGCAGAAGAGGAGAGUGGAACUCCAUGUGUAGCGGUGGAAUGCGUAGAUAUAUGGAAGAACACCAGUGGCGAAGGCGGCUCUCUGGUCUGUAACUGACGCUGAGGCUCG
rnacentral:rRNA from 1 species